rnacentral:rRNA from 1 species
UACGUAGGGCGCAAGCGUUGUCCGGAAUUAUUGGGCGUAAAGAGCUCGUAGGCGGCUUGUCACGUCGGGUGUGAAAGCCCGGGGCUUAACCCCGGGUCUGCAUUCGAUACGGGCAGGCUAGAGUGUGGUAGGGGAGAUCGGAAUUCCUGGUGUAGCGGUGAAAUGCGCAGAUAUCAGGAGGAACAUCGGUGGCGAAGGCGGAUCUCUGGGCCGAUACUGACGCUGAGGAGCGAAAGCGUGGGAGCGAACAGG